rnacentral:rRNA from 1 species
UACAGAGGCCUCAAGCGUUGUUCGGAUUCAUUGGGCGUAAAGGGUGCGCAGGCGGUCGGGUAAGUCGGAUGUGAAAUCCUGGGGCUCAACCUCAGAACUGCAUUCGAUACUGCUUGGCUAGAGGAUUGGAGAGGAGAGUGGAAUUCACGGUGUAGCAGUGAAAUGCGUAGAGAUCGUGAGGAAGACCAACGGCGAAGGCAGCUCUCUGGACAAUUCCUGACGCUCAGGCACGAAGGCCAGGGGAGCAAACGGGG